CAGUCGCCGCGGGAAUACGGAGGGUGCAAGCGUUAAUCGGAAUUACUGGGCGUAAAGCGCACGCAGGCGGUUUGUUAAGUCAGAUGUGAAAUCCCCGAGCUUAACUUGGGAACUGCAUUUGAAACUGGCAAGCUAGAGUCUUGUAGAGGGGGGUAGAAUUCCAGGUGUAGCGGUGAAAUGCGUAGAGAUCUGGAGGAAUACCGGUGGCGAAGGCGGCCCCCUGGACAAAGACUGACGCUCAGGUGCGAAAGCGUGGGGAGCAAACAGGAUUAGAGACCCGUGUAGUCCCUGUCUCUUAUAC
rnacentral:rRNA from 1 species